GAUCAACUGGCCUAGUGGUAAGGCGUCCGUCUUACAUGUAACAACCGUUCACGGAAGAUCGUAGGUUCGAAUCCUGCGUUGAUCA